UGAUGCGAUCAUACCCGAGCACUAGAGUCACGCCGGAUCCCACUCGAACUCCGAAGUUAAGCGUGCUUGGGCGAGAGUAGUACUAGGAUGGGUGACCUCCUGGGAAGUCCUCGUGUUGCAUCCC